CCAAUAGCGUAUAUUAAAGUUGUUGCAGUUAAAAAGCUCGUUGUUGAAUUUCGAGAUCAAAUUGUUGGUCGUGCCUCGGUACGUACUGGCAUUAUUGAUUUCUCCCUUCUGAAGAACCUUGAUGUCAUUAAUUUGGUGUCUUGGGGAAUCAGGACCGUUACUUUGAAAAAAUUAGAGUGUUUAAAGCAGGCUCACGCUUGAAUACAUUAGCAUGGAAUAAUGAAAUAGGACGUUUGAUUCUAUUUUGUUGGUUUCUAGGAUCGACGUAAUGAUUAAUAGGGAUAGUUGGGGGCAUUAGUAUUCAAUUGUCAGAGGUGAAAUUCUUGUAUUUAUUGAAGACUAACUACUGCGAAAGCAUUUGCCAAGGAUGUUUUCAUUAAUCAAGAACGAAAGUUAGGGGAUCGAAGACGAUCAGAUACCGUCGUAGUCUUAACCAUAAACUAUGCCGACUAGGGAUCGGAUGAUGUUAAUUUUUUAAUGACUCAUUCGGCGCCUUACG
rnacentral:misc_RNA from 1 species